GUUUAUUUCGGUUUGAUUUUCGGUUUAACCAAAUUUAAUUAACAGUGGCCUGUGGCCUGUGGUCCAAGAUGCUGUUUCUCGAGUGCUGCACUUUCCGAACAACUUGCCCCAAUUCCGUGAAUUGUGAAUUACUGCACUACACCAAUAUAAUCAUAAAUGCAGCAUUUCACAACAUCAACACAAACAAACACAGUGGCCUAGACACCCCUAAAAAGGACAAAAAAUCAAUCUCAUCCACAAAAAUCUGCACAAAGUCAAAACUAGUAAGAAAUACAUAACACUGUAAAUUAAAAAAAAAGCUUCAGAAGUGCAGGAAUUGAAGUGGCCAAUGAGCAGUGAGCACUGACCUUCAACUUUUGAGUCGCAAGCACUGAGCAGAUGACUGAUGAGACAACAGUUGCGGGCUGCGAGCAGUCGAGCACUCAGCGAGGAGCCAGGAGCAACGGCUGGCCUGAGACGACGAGCUGAGAGAUGAGAGAUGAGAGUUAACAGACGAGCUCGGAGCCGCGGCGUAACUGAGACGAGAGUUGAGAGAUGAGAUGAGAGUUACGACUUACGUAUUAGGGAAAUCAGAUUAGGGAUUUUUCUGAUUAGAAUUUGGGCUGGGCAUGGGCUAUUGGGCUGAGAUCAGUAUUUUAAUUAAAAGUUGUGGGCUGAGAUCAGUAUUUUAAUGAAGGGGUAAAGAGUAUAUAUAUCUAAUUUUGGUUUUUUCGGUUAACCGAUUUUUUCAGCUAAAAAACCGAAAACCGAACCGAAAAACUGAAAUAUUGAAAAUCAAAACCGAAACCGACCGAAAUAACCGAAAAAUAAAAAAAUUCGGUUUCGGUCGGUUUUUUCGAUUUUAACCAUAUUAUGCCCAGCCCUAGCGAUAACCAUCUCUAUGAGCCACAUGAUGAUCCAAUGUCUUACUCACAUUGUCAUAGCCACUUUAUACCUUAUCGGAAUAUCAAAUGCAACUUUAACUUAUGGAUUCACUAAAAGUCUUUUUGAGGAAGAUAGGGAGUUGCCCGACUUACGGUACGAUCCUAUUUAUGCUGACAAUACUCAAAACAUGUCAAUUUCAUUUUUCAAUUGUAAAUCACUGAAAGUAAAAUAACCAAAAGAAUAUCAUUAUAAAAAAAUGAGAACUUCAUCUUAUGUUAAAUCAAAAUUUGAAUAUAAAUUACAACUUGACUAAUUGAUAUGAAAGAAAAAGGUUAUUGCCUAAACAAACUUGGCAUUGUAGAGUUUGGCACCUAAUAUUGCAAUUAACAGAGCAACACCAAAAUAGAGUUUGAUACCAACUGAGGUAACAAAAAAUGAAACCAAAAAAAAAAAAAGGUAACAAAAACACAAUAACACCAAAAAACAAAAGCAAAGUUAACUAUUUCAUGAAACAUGGGUCUUUCUAUUAGAAUUAUUUUGGCUUUGAUUAAUAGUAGCAAUUGCAAUCCUCGUUUGUAUUCUUCAAGUUUAUUGCUGAUAAUGGUUGAUUUUCCCCUUCACUUUACUCCUAAAUGUGGUUGGUCGCUAAUAUCUUCAAUAACUUCAUCAAACCUCUCUAAAACUCGUAUACCAAUGACCAUUUUACUUGACAUUAUAAUUUGUGGGUUGCACAAAUAAAUCGCAAAAAUUAUAAAAAUUCAUACAUGAAUCCAAACCGUUUGGCCAUGACAAAUUUUCACUUAUUUUCGAAAAAUUAUUUCACAUCUUUCAAUAAUAAUAUUUGGCCAUGAAAAUUUCAAAUACAACUCAAGUUUUAUAGUUAGAAUUCAAAAAAACACCAAAAAUCUUGUUUUUACUAUUUUUUAUUUUUAAUAUAUUAUGUUUUAAAUUUUUUUUUCAUAAAAUAACUUCUUUUAAAUUAUAUUCCAUGUUCAAAUCAAAUAAUAUUUUUUUAUAUAUAUUUAAAAUAUAUCUAUUUUCAAAAUAUUAACUACAAAACUAUGACUAAACACAAGUUCAUCUCUAACUUCAAUUUUAAAAUUUCAAAUAAAAUGGAUUUUCUUAAAAAAAUUCAUAAGCAAACGCUAAAAAAUUUCUAAAAAAAGAAAAGAAUAAAGAGGAGGCCCAACUACAAAUGUAGAAUAAAGUUGGGCCUAAUUAGUGCAUUGGAAUAGGUCAACUUAAUACAAGUUCAACCCAAGCCCAAACCAUUGAACCCAAAUUUACUCAUCAUCUCACUCAAAUCUCUGUCACAACAAAAAUCAAUUGGAGAGACGAAGAAUCUGACAGAAAAAAUGGGGAGGAAGAAAGGAGUACAGUUCGAUGAAGGAGCACCCGAUGACUUCGACCCGAAUAAUCCGUAUAAGGAUCCGGUAGCUUUCUUAGAGAUGAGGGAGCAUUUGGUGAGGGAGAAGUGGAUCGACAUUGAAAAAGCCAAGAUCCUCCGUGAAAAGCUCCGUUGGUGCUACCGUAUCGAAGGUAUUAACCAUCUUCAGAAGUGCCGCCACCUUGUUCAGCAGUAUCUUGACGCAACCCGCGGUGUUGGGUGGGGCAAGGACCUUCGUCCUCCCUUUAUGCAUGGUCUCGCCUUUUGCUCAUUUAUUACUUGUUUGAGAUUUAAAGGUUUUGUUUUUGGUUUCUGAAUCUUAUGUAUUCGUUUGAUUUCAGGGCCUAAGGUGGUUGAAGCUGUUGAGUCCGAAUGAUUCUGUUAUCUUAGGUAUUUUUGAUUUCUCCCUUUUAUUAGAUUGGAAUUAUUAUCAAUUUCAGCUUCUAUGAGUCUAUUUGAAACUAUUUCAUUAAUAAUAGUCUAACCUAGAAAUAGAAACUUCAACGGAGGAAUCUGGGACUCUCCAGAGUGUUUGGUCAAAAUCUAGAAUCAUGAAAUGUGAGGUGGGAGUCAACUUAAUAAUAUUGCCAAUCUAUAACUAAUUAGACUAGAAGAUUCAAAAAUAUGAUUUGCACUAUCUUCAAAUCCAUGGCCAGUAUGAAUCUGUAAACUAGAAAUAUCUUAACUGAUUUAAAACACGUGACAUGCUAUUAUUGAUACUUUUGGGUUAUGUAUCACAAUAGUUAUAAUUCACUAUGCAUACCUCAUGAGUCAUGAGUGACUCUAUUUUUCAAUCUUUUGUGAACAUUGAUGCACAGCAUAUAUUAGUGAGGAUCACAUUUACUAUAGUCUGGCACUAUACCCGCAUUUUAGAUGCUGGCACAACAGUCUGAUCCUAACUUGAUCAGUGAGGUAUCUUUUUCCCUGUUUGUCCAUUACGAGAGCCUGAAGCCCUCCCGGUCAGCUAGGAGGGAUGCUGGCACAGUAUGAAUCUAAAGCUACACUAGCAGAAGCCGUAUCUGCUACUUCUUGUGAUAUCAACUCUUUUAAGGUAGCAUAUAUCAGCCCCCAAGGCCUAGCUCAAGUGGCAAAAGGUGGAAGAUUUGUGGCUUAGGUCGCAGGUUCAAGCCCCACAUCAUGCAAAGCGAAGCCCGGUAUUUAAGUGGAGAAGGGUAGAGGGGCGGGCCCAUUAUCCACCGAGUUUAGAAGGCUGUGAUUGGUCCAAAGGAUGGGUCACAGACGGAUUUCUCGGUUAUCAAAAAAAAAAAGGUAGCAUAUAUCAUCCAACAUCUUGCAACCUUCUUCCCAAAAACUCUUCUAGACUUAGGCAUGCAGCUUAAUAUCUAGCAUGUGAAGUACUUCAUAAUCUUGUAUAAGAAUCAUACAUCAACUAUAUUUUACUCAAAGCUAGUUAGUCUUGCUUCAAUUUCAAACAGGCUCAUCAAAGUACAUAUGCACUAUCAUAAACACUAUAAACCAUUAGCAUAACUCAUGAUUGCUGCUCAAGAUAAAGUAGGCAUUUACCCAAUCAUAUCCACAUCUUGCAUGUAGUUGUCCCAAUGCAUGCUUAUAUGUGAAGAGCAUACAUAUACCACUACUCUGGAAACAUAGAAUUCAAUAAUUCUUUCUAAAACAUGCAUAAAUCAAUUUGAUAUCAUACAUUUUGUUAUAAAACCAGUUAUGAGACAGAUUAUAGUAACCACAACUUCAAUCCCCGUUGGGCUCGACUCCAAAGCAUCUUUAAUGCUCUAGGAAACAAACAAUCAAAAUUUCAAUCAGAGUUGGCUCGACUCCAAUUGACUCAACAAGGGAAAAUAUUUAUUGAUCUAUGAUCAAACAAACUGUCAAAUUGGUCCCCUGUUAUAAUCCAUGCUUUAGCAUUUCAAUCUAUAUUUCAAGAGUCCUGUAUUUACAUUUAUGCCAGCUCUAACAUUCUAUCAAUCGUGAGUAGAUGAAAUCUAACUCAAAACUGUAAGAAUAAGAGUUAACUCUUACCUUAGGGCGCAUGAAGUCCUUAAUUCUUACCUUUGGGCUUAGGAAAUCACCAUUAAGCAAUGGGUUUCUUAAAUCUUCCAUUCACAGUGAUUGUUCCUUGCUAGUGACACACUACAAUGGCUUAGAAUGAAUCAGGACAUAGCUUUCCCUCGAUAUAAAGUAUUAAAAAAGAUAGCCAAAUUCCCUUACAGAUUCCAUGAAUCUGGUGCAUCUACCAGUAUGCUGUAGAUCCUUCAGGUUUUUGACGUUUUCAUAGGUUUACUGAGAAAGGAUAAACUUAACAGAGUAAAACUUCUGCAAAUGCACUAGAUUUCUCUUCCUUUCCUUAAUCUUUUGGUUCCAUCACAUUUGUUUUGUCAAUUCUUUCAUUGUAACUUAAAUUCAAUAUAGCAAGUUUAAUCCAUGCAUAAAAUCCAAGUCCACAACAUGUUUAGGAGUCGGGGUAUUUUUGGUGAUUCUGGUUUUUUCUGUGUUUUUGUAUGUACAGUAAUUGGAACUCAAAGUUAUUCAAAUUUUCAUCUGGAUUUUGCAAAUGAAGCUAAAGAAACUAGCUGCAAUACAAGUUUGACCUUGGUCACUUUGAUUGUUUACUUAUCUGUUCCUAUGAUAGCCCACCCACAAUAAUUCCCUUGAAAUUAAAAAAAUGAGGGGAAAGCAACAACCACAAAAAAACACAAGAAAUACAUUUGACAAUGUAGGUUAAAAUACUAAAAUGCUAUUUAUUAGAGGUAAAACUUUCUAGAUGAACUCUUUCCCUCCUUAAUCUUCCUGUUCCUUUAUCUAGCAAAGCUAUAUUAGUGUACAACUCCACUGUCAGUUGAAACCCUUUUUACCUUCUUGACACCUUUCACACCCUUGGCCAGAAAAUAUCAAGCUUGGCCUGACCAAUUGGAACAGUUAUUUAACUGGCUACACUUCUGAUAAUUGAGUCAUUUUUCACAAAAGCUUUCUGUAUUCUCUAGAAAAUUGCUGUCAUCUCCACACACUGACCUAUACUGAUGGUUAGGAGCAAAACUAGUAAAAGGGAGGUAGCAGUUUUAAAUUUUGAUAACAUUUUUAUUUUUAAUUCACCAUAUUUUGAGGUUAGUUUUAGUCCUUAUAUUCUAGUUCUCAAAACAUUGAAUCUUCCAUUUAAGGUAAAUUUCAUCCAUUUAGUGAAUGCAAUCAGCAAAAGUACAUGAGAAGUACCAUAUUUGGCUUCCACCUCCAUCCUCUUCCUUUGAUAUGGUCUAUGCCAUCAUAUCCCUCUUAUACACUCCGAUCUUGUCUUCAUCGCCUACAAGCAACUGCCUUCCUGGAUAGUUCACAGAGAGUUGAGUAGGGAUUCAUAAAGAAGCGAAGUGACUUAUUUGAAUAAGAUGUAGGUCGUUUGAGUAUAUAUGCAAUGGAAGAGGGACAAAGGCAAGUAAAAGAUUGAGCUUUUCAAUAUCCUAUCGAAAUUUGUUGAUUAUACUAGAGGAAGGACUAAAAUUGCUCCUCUUACAAAUUGAAGAUCAGAUAUAGUACAUGUAAUAACACAGGAAUUGAGAUUCUGUCGAAGAGGACUGGAGGUGUCACUAAACUUAGGAAUAUGAAAUAGAACCUUAAAAGAAUUACAAUAUCUUUCUGAUACCAUCAAUAGGUUCCUUAAGGCUUCAUAUCACCAUUCUGAGUCAUUUUAAGAAAUAAUGUCUUACAAUUGCCAUUGUGAUGGCUUCUUUUUGCAACGACAAUGCAAUAGCAAUGGCAAAGCAAGAUUCACUAGUCUUGUCAUGUACUGUUAUUAGGGAGAAAGAGGAUGAGCUUUAUUAAAUAAAAAGAGUAGCAGGAAUGAAAGAGGAGAGUUGCAGGAGGGGAAAUAACAUUAGAACAGACAUGGAUAUUUCAUUUGUAUAGUUACAGAACAAAAAAUAACGGGAAAUAAUGUAGUAUGUUAUGUUUCACGUCCACAUGAAUUUUUAAACCUUACUGAAACUAGAUUUAAAGGAGAAAGUAAAUGACAACAACAUGACCACAGGCUUACAUCAUUAAGAAACCGGUAGGCAUUAUGAAGGGUUGAUCGAGAGUUGACCAAGUUUGCCCAUGGGUUUGACCAACAUUGAUUAUGAGUUGACCACCAUUAGAGUUUCUAUGAUGAUUCAAGCAUGGUCCCACACGCCCCGCCAGCCUCACGACUCAUUUGGUCAUGUUAGGGCUUUUAUUAUUUUAAAGUACUUGGACUUGAGCCGGAACCCAUCAUUUAGCUAGUUAUACAUUUGAGGUGAUGUAGGGUUUUGCGGAGUUUUUGAUGAAUCAUUGAUGAAGAACUCUCUUGAGAGAGCAUGCCUUUGUGGGAAUAUCUUUAUCCUCUUCAAUUUAACCUUUUUUGGAUUCGUCUAGUAAGUGUUCAUGUAUGAGUUUAAUUUUUCUUCUUCUUUGGAUUGAUUUCUUGUAAUUGGAUUACGAAUUAGUAGGUUUAAGUAUAUGUUACUUGGCUUGACUAAUUAGCGAAUUGCUGCUUCUAUUAGAUUUUGUCCUAUCUUUCUUAAUCUAUCUCUAUCUUCUCAUCUCUUUCUAGUUUUUAAUUUCCUUGUGUUAAUGCCGUUCGGUAAAUAUCUUCUACUUUCAUAUUGUAUGGCUGGUGAGGUAGAGUAAAUAGUCUUGUGGAACAAAAUCAAGAAGUAGACCUUCUUCUUUCCUUUCUUUUCUCGAACCAAACAUGUUCUUGGAUAGAAUGGUUUCUCAACAAUCUGCUAGUUAAUGAGUAAAAGUCAGUUGGCAAGUUGAUGUGGGCUCAACAAAAAAAGAAGUCUAUUUGUUUGUCCAGUGAAAACUAUAUUUCAAAAUUAAUCUAUGCAAGUUGAAUAGUGAUAACAAAUUGGUUAGAGCUCUCAAACAUGUAUAAUUCGGGCGAAGAAUUGCAACUCAAAAUUCAUAUUGUAGGUCUGUUUUUAUGUUGUAGAUUUUAAUGAUCCAUGUUUUGGUACACAAACUCUUAUGCAAGUUCUUGACUUUGCAAUAUAUCCUGGUUUUUGUUGUACAUAUAAAGCUGUGUUCCCUAAGGUGUGAGAUUUCCCCUUUUUGCAGGUUUGUAUUUCCAGUUGAAAGUAUAAACUUCGGAGGUUGUUGGGCUUACCAACUAGUGAAUUUCAGUGUAUCGCUGCUUCUGUUAUUCACUGCUUAAGACCUGAUUUUUUAGUUUUCUGUCGUGUGAAAAACGACAAAUGGUUUGCAAUGGCUUUAACUUCAGCCUUGUAUCUUUUUUUUUUUUUUUGAGGGAACUAUAUUUCAUAGUGGAAAUAAAGGAAAAAACUCAUUGUCUUCCUUAUUGGUGUCCUGGUCUUUGUUCUAUGCUUCCUCUAUCUUGUGUGUAUUGUUAUUCAUUAGUCAUGAUUAUAGGCUGGUAUUUUGUAUUCUGUGCUGUUAUAUUGGAGCUCUUGAGAAAUGGAUACUUGGAACAUUUUGUUUGCCGCUAGGUAUUAGGUUCAAUAAUGUUCUCGAAGAGACUUAUAAAAUGGCUAGGUUUUGAACGAGGGAGGAAGCAGCUUGUAUCAACGUUGAUAGUGUCGGCAAAAUGAGUCCAUAGUUUGGUAACCUGCUCAACUCCCUCGUAUUUUAAUGGGUUGGGUGAGUGACGUUUUAGAUGAGUAAAAUUUUAACCCAUAGAAAUAUGGGUAUUCAUUGGUAAAUUAUGGGUUAGCCUACUGGGUUAAACUUUAAAGGCCAAAUCCAUCGGUGGGCCCCUAAAGUUGGCACCAAGUUUCACAUAGACACCUCAAUUGUGCGAUGUUUAUUUUAGACUCUUCAUGUAGGGUUUCGCUAUAUUCUUUUGACACUUUUUUACAACAAGAAAAAAGCUGAAGGAGAGUGUAAUACACUCGUGGAUGACGUGGCAAACAACGAAUUAAAUGAUUACAUGUGUUAUUUUAAGUUAAGAAUUAUUUUAAAAUCUAUUUAGUAAAUAAAAUAAAAAUAUUAUUCUAAAAAAAUCAAUUUAACCCCUCCCCCAUGGUAGUUGUCUUCUCUACUAUACCCAACAAUUUUCUUAAUUUUUUUUCUUAAUUUGCUCUUUAAAAUUGUUUUAGUUUCUUUUUUUCUUUCUAUUUUAGUGUUGUUUUGAGAGAAAAAGAAAGGAGGAGGAGGGAGACAAAGAGAGAAAGAAAGAAAAAUUAUAAAGCAUGAGUGUUGAUAUCCAUUUUUUCCAGCGAAAAAGGUGGAAUCGAAAAUCGUUUUUUUUCAUUACACUCUAUACCUCUUUUGUGCUCUUUUCUUUCUUUUUAGUGUUAUUUUGUGGGAAGAGAAGAAGGAGAGAUUAAAUAUGAAAUAUGGGUGUUGGUAUCCAUUUAUCCGGCAAACAAUGUAGAGGGAGGUGAUGGUAAAUUUAGAAAAGGAAUACAAUGAAGAAGAAAAAAAUGACUUAAAAACGGAUUUGAAUAAAAAAUUCGACCUCCAUUGAAGGAGUUUAAGCUUCAAAAAAUGGUGGGAGGUGAUGGUAAAUUUAGAAAAGGAAUAUAAUGAAGAAGAAAAAAAUGACUUAAAAAUGGAUUUGAAUAAAAAAUUCGACCUCCAUUGAAGGAGUUUAAGCUUGAAAAAAUGGUGGGAGGUGGUGGCUUGAAAAUUGGAGAAGAUGAAGAGAAAAUAAAAUAAAAAAUUGGCUAAAUUAAGCCUUUCAGGCGCUAUUGUUUAGUGUAUCACACUCACUUUGACAUGUCAGCAAAAAAUGUCAAAAUGACACAACGGGACCCUACAUGAGGUGUCUAAAAUGAACAUAGUGAAAUUUGGUGCCAACUUUAGGAAGACAUCGAUGAGUUUGGCCAACUUUUAACUUUUAUUCACCCAAAGUUCAUGAUAUCACUAAAAAUAUUGUAACUGUUUUUUUAUGUUCUAAUUAUUCUUCUCUAUAAUUGAAGAGGUAAAGUCUUUGACCCUCCAAAAAAGUAUAUACUAUAUUGCAUGUACAUUUCUUUUGUUAAUUAUAAUUAUAUUUUUUAUUUGUUUAAUUUUUGGAAAAUGCAUAAGUACCCCCCAACCUAUGCCUGACAUCUCAGAGACACACUUAUACUAUACUAAGGUCCUAUUACCCCCUCCCCCUGAACUUAUUUUAUAAAUAAUUUUCUAUCCAUUUUCGGCCUACGUGGCACUAUCUUCUUGGCCCAGCGCGUGUUGACAAUUUUUUCAAGCUAUCUGAUUGAUAGUGCCACGUAGGCCGAAAAUGGAUAGAAAAUUAUUUAUAAAAUAAGUUCAGGGGGAGGGGGUAAUAGGACCUUAGUAUAGUAUACGUGUGUCUCUGGGAUUUCGGGCAUAUGUUGGAGGGGUACAUAUGCAUUUUUCCUUUAUUGGAUAACAAAUAAUAGUGCAAAGUUAGCGAAUCAUGUAUUAGUAUUGAUAUUGCGUAAAGUUCCUCAAGCACUUUUUACUCCUAAGAUGUAAAUAUUCAUUUACUUUGAAAUUGAAAAUAUUUUUUCCUUGUUAUUACAUAAAUUUAUUUUAUAUUGAAAAUUUAUAGGGAUUUUUUUUACUUUGAUAAUACAAUAAAACUAAAUAAAGUAUUUUCAACAUUUUUUCAUCUUAAAAAAAAACUAAAACAUUUUAUCCAUGUUUAAUUCUAAAAUAAAGUACUAUUUGUUCAUGGAAAUAUGAAUAAAUAUGAAUAAACUUGUAUUUUACCCAAUCUAUUUGUUAUCCAACCCAUUUUUACCCAUAUGAGAUAUGAAUGAAUUGAAUUAUUACCCAUUUUAUAUUGACCCAUUUUCAAUCCGUCAAAAUUUUACCCAACCCACCCAUUUGCCACCACUAACCAACCGUAAGUAACAGAAACUAAGCAGUACACUUUUUUUCUGUUGGGCUGAACUUUCAGAAAAAAUUGCCACUCAGGUGCAAUACUAAUUUAUGGAACGAUAGAUAUGUUCAAGUUUUACCGCAGCCAUAUUGUCCGGUUAUACGCUUAGUGCAUCAUUAUAGAAGUUUAAGUUUUGUCUAUGAGAAAAGACAUCAAGUCACCAUUAAAGUUGUCCUGUAUUUGUAUAAAAAUACCUUAACUUUGGAAGUAUCCUAUGACCCCACAGAACUAUUUAAUAUUUUAUAAAUGGGCCAUUUUGACCCAUUCCCUCGUCUGUGUUGUCGCGCGUGAUGCUCGAUAGAAUUCAACCCGGCCCGAUCCUAUUCUUUUCAAGAAAAGUCGUCUUCUUCUUUUCUUUUCUUAUUUCUCAACUUCCCCUAAAAUCUCAAAGAAUAGAAAAGUCUUCUCGACAUCUUGGUGUUGAUAAUCUCGUUGUUGAUGUUUCUUGGUGAAGAUUCUUGGAGGGACAAUGAAUUGAAGGUCUAAAAGGUUAGGGCUCUACAUCAUAUGAUAAAGAUCUUCUUUUUUUAGAUUAUUGUGAUUUUAGGGAUUAUUAUAGUGUAAAGAGUGUUGGAAUCGACCUAUUAUAGUUGCCAUUGUUAGGAUUUUAUAGUUUUUCGUUGUGUUAUUGAGUAAUUGCUACUGUUAGAGUUUUGUGUUAUCGACUUAGUGAAACUGUUAGUGAUUAGGAUUUUGUGUUAUCGACUUAGUGCGACUAUUAGUGAUUGUGUUUUAGGUUAGGGUUUGAUGCUAUCCACUUAGUUUGAAUCUUAUUAUUCGUGUCUUAUACAUUUGUAGACUUCAAUUUAUACAUUAUCGACUUGUUUACAAGUCUUUUGUUCUGUUAGUGAUGGGGCUAAAUGUUAGUGCUAUUGCUACUGUUAGUGCCUUUUCUACUCUUGUUAGUUAGUGUUUCUGCUACUGUUAUUUGUUAGUGAUUAUGUUUGUCGUGUACAGCUUGUUAGAGUUUGUUCUUGAAACGUGUGUUUGAAUUGUGUUUGUCUUUUUUACAUGCCUUUGCAGGAUGGCUUUUACUUUGAUAACUUUAAGUUGGUAUCAUGGGGGGUUAAUAGAAUUUGGUCCCCCACCUAAAUAUAUUGGAGGGCAUGUGACAGAAUUCCUAGAUGUAGAUAUUGAUAGGAUGUCUUAUUUUGAGUUGAGAGACUACAUAAAGGAACUAGGAUAUACAAUAGAUUGUGAGUUUUUCAUUAAGUGGGAUGAGUUAUUGGUUCUUGUUGAUAAUGAUAAGGUUAUAUUGACAUUUUCAAUAUGAUAAAUGAUGGGGAUACAGUUGAGGUGUAUGUUUUUCAUGGGGUUAGUGAAGCUAAUCAGGCCCCACUUGAAUUGGAGUUUGUCCCCAAUGUGAGUGAUAGUGGGGUAGGUGAGGAAUCUUUCAAUGAGACUUCUAACCCUAAUAAUCAGCCUCCUACUUCUACUUUUCCUUCCAACCCUAAAACUGGUCCUUCAGAAACUUCCAGCACUCGAUUUGAAGAUCCUCCUACUAUUGUGCCUCCACUAUCUCCUUCUUCUACUGUGCCUCCACCAUCUCCUUCUACCGUGCCUCCACCAUCUCCUUCUUCCACUGUGCCUCCACCCUCUCCUUCUACUGUGACUCCUCCUUCCUGUGUACCUUCAUCUGAUCCUAUAAUAGAUAAUGAUCCAAUUGAUGAUGAAGUGGAAGAUGAAUCAGGAUCUGAAGGGUAUAAUAAUGAAGAUACUGAGGUUGAAAGUGAUGUCCAUCAAGAGUAUAUAGAUAUAAGGGAAAGCAAGAGUCAUUUCAAAGGGUCACAAAGGAGAAGUAGAGGUACUACUUCAGAUCAGAUUAAUGUUGAUGAAAAGGGUCCAAAUAUAGGGUAUGAUGAGACAAAUAUUGGUAUUAGGAAAAGCUUAGUUGGUACGCUAGGAGGUGAUGAAUCUUACUAUCUAAGUGAUGAAGCUCCUAGCUUUGAAAUAGAUGAUAAAACAGGUUGGGGAGAUGGUGAAGAGGUUGAUCAAGUAGUGCAUAAACCUGUUAGAAGGAAGAAAACCCCAAAUAGAGUUGUGUUUGAUGAAAUUUCUGAAAAGGUUGUUUGGGAAUUAGGACUAGUUUUCAGAAGUGUUGAUGAAUUUAAAGUGGCAGUGACAAGAUAUGCAGUUCAAGAACAUAUUCAUAUUAAAAAAUAUGUGAAUGAGCCUGGCAGAGUUAGAGUGAGAUGUUGCAACCUUACCUUAAUAAAGGAAGAACUUAAGCCUUUCUUAAAAAUAAAAAGCCCUAUGAUGAGCUAACUUGGCUUGGUGCAGGAAAUGGAAUCACAGCAAGAAAGAAGGCCAGGAGAGAUAGCAUACUUUCCUUUUUUAGGAUUUCUACCCGCGGAUGACUGAACUACCACGACUCUCGCUAACUGCAUCGGAUUCUUUGGAUAAAAGAAGACUAGCUUUUAGAGUGGAUUCCUUCCCUAAACUAAAGAAUUUACUUACCUUAAGCCGGUAUCUUUCCUUGGUUGUUGUGUGCAAGUAAGUAUAAGACUGGUGGAGAUUUCAUAGUUAAAAGAUACAACCCUGUCCAUAAAUGUUUGACAUCAACUCAUAACUAUCUUUGCAACUCAAAGUUUUUGGCCACCAAAUACAAAGAAAGAAUAACUCAAUAGCCAAACAUCAACAUUGUGUUGUUGCAGGACAUUAUUAGAAAAGAGUUGGAUAUCCAUGUUGGUAGGACAAUAGUGAGAAGAGCUAGGACUAGAGUGUUACAAGAGAUCAUGGGUGAUCACAUUGUGGAGUACGGUAAGAUCUUUGAUUAUAAAGAUGAGAUUUUAAGGAGUAAUCCAUGUAGUACUUGUGUAGUGAAGGUUGGAGAAGAAGAUGAAAUUGGGAAGAAAAUUUUUCAAGAAUUUUAUGUUUGCUUCAAUGCUUUAAAGAAAGCAUUUUUUGAGGUGCUAGGAAGUUGAUUGGUUUUGAUGGGUAUUUUCUCAAAGGUGUGUGUAAAGGCCAGUUGUUAGUGACAAUUUGUAGAGUUGGAAACAACCAAAUGCUGCCUAUUGCUUGGGCAGUUGUUGAGGUUGAGAAUCAGUUUACCUGGACAUGGUUUCUUGAACUAGUGAGGAAUGAUCUUGAUCUUGGAGAAGGGCAUCAAUUAUCUAUUAUUACUGAUAUGAAAAAGGUAAGACCUUUAUUGUCUUAUUGUUUGAUUGUGUUUUUUUUUUAUGUUUUUAAUUUUGCAUUUUAAUUAUGUUUCUGUUAUGUUGCUUUGUUAGGGACUAGAAAUUGUUGUUUAGGAGGUAUUGCCACUGGUUGAACACAAAAAAUGUGCAAGACAUGUUCUUGCAAAUUGAUGUAAAAGAUGUAAAGGAAUUGAAAGAAGAAGAGUAUUUUGGAGGAUUGCUAAAUCCACAUUUGAAGCUGAGUUGAAGGAUAAUAUAUAGGCAAUGAAGAAAUUAGGAAAAGAAUGUUUGGAUGAUCUUUUAUGGUACAACUUGGAUACAUGGUGCAAGAGGUAUUUUCAGGACUAGCAAAUGUGAUGUUGUGGACAACAAUAUGACAAAAAGCUUUAAUGCUUGGAUACUGCCUGCAAGGUAUAAAACAAUCAUCACAAUGCUUGAGGAGAUAAUGGUGAAGAUGAUGAAAAGAAUUGGUGAUUUGAGAGAGUUCUUAAACACUUGGAUCACUGAUAUAUCUCCUAUGUCUUUGAAUAUUUUGCAAGAAAAUAUUGAAAAGUCUAUGUAGAGUUGUCAAAACGGGUCAGCCUAGCCCUACUCCGCCCAAGCCUCGCAGGCCAAAGAAUUUGAUGGGCUGGGGCGGGCCGGGCCUUCAUUUCAAAGGGCGGUAAAAUGGUCAACCCGGCCCAAUCCCAAAAGGGUCAAGGGCUGGGGCGGGUCGGCCCUCUUUUUUUUUUAUGUCAAAUCAAUGUCACAAACAGUAACAUUGUUUCAAUAAUUCUAAAUAAAAUCUAGCAAUAAAUAUUUAAAGAAAAAAUAAAUAAUCCCUUAAGUAAAUAAUAUUUGAAAAACAAACUAGUAAACUAAAGAAUACUUUUGACUAAAACUUUAGUUAGCAAUACAUAAUUACCUAAAGUAUUUUGUUAAAUGAAAUCAAGAAACUAAUUAAUUGUUCAAGCCAUUAAAAAAUUCUAUCACAUAUAAUAUAAAUAGUGUUUACUAUCCAAGUCUUAUAUUCAAAACUAAAUAAUAAAGAAAUUCAUGAGGUAAUCUCUUUAGAAAAACUCCACAAACACUUAUUUAGGUUUUCUAGUUUUUUAUUCUUAUUUUUUAAAUAUUUAUCUUAAUUAAAAUUAAAUAAUUUGGCCCAUGGGCCGACUCUGACCCGACACCGAUCAAGCCUCAAGGGCUAAGGGCCUAAAAGGGUUGGGCUUAUAAGCCCCGAUUUUAAACGGGCUUGUAAAAUACUAUCCCAACCCUACCCCAAUAACGGGUUGGGUCGGGCCAACCCCAUGGACUAAGCCCUUUUUGACGGCUCUAAGUCUAUAUAAUGUAACUAACUUGGAAUGGAGAAAGUGGUUUUGAGAUUUAAACACUAUGGAUUUACACAUAUUGUGGACAUUGUUAGUAGGAGUUGUAGUUGCAGAUCUUGGCAGCUCAGGGGCAUUCCUUGUCCUCAUGGUGUUGCUGCCCUUCAUUACAAGGAGUUGGAACCAAUCAAUUAUGUGGCUAGUUGUUAUAGCAAGGAGACCUACCUCAGCACAUAUGCCCAUUUUAUUCGGCCAAUGAAUAACAUGAAAAUGUGGCCAACAUCAAAUAAUUCAAUUAUAAAGCCACCAAAGAUCAAGAAGAUGCCUUGAAGACCAAGUAAGGUUAGAAUAAAUGAAGCAAAUGAAAGUAGAAAAAUUGAAAAGCUUAGCAAAAGUGGUGUUGUUAUGACGUAUAGCAAAUGUGGUACACAAGGACACAAUCAAAGAGGCUGUCCUACAAGAAAUCAAGUUGGUCCAAGUCAAUUAGCUGAACCAUCUUCUCAGGCAAGAGGUACUGGUCUAAGUCAGUCAGCUGAACCAUCUUCUCAGACACAUACUUUUAUUUGUUACUUUCAAAUGUAAGUUAUAUGUACAUGUAUAUGUAUUGAUAUAUCAAUAUACAGGCUACUAAAAGAGCAGCAGGAGGCAGAGCAAGAGGUAGAUCAAUAGUUCAACUCAAUCACCUGGAGCUUCUUCACAUGUAUAUAUAUUCAUUUGUACAAGAUUUAGUUGUAAUUCCAUGCACUGAUGUGUGAAAAUCAGGCCACCACAAAUAAUGAACGUGGUAGAGGAAGAGGCACAUAAAGAGUUUCAAGUUCUAUAGACAAUAUAGAUAUGCUUUAAUAUUUGAGUUUCAAAUUACAGACUUUUAAUGGUAGAGGUAGAGUUAGAGGUAGAAGAGUAGGAACAUGUAGAGGAAGAGGAAUGCCUCAAGAAAGAAAUGUGAAUGAAGGACUAUGUAGACGAAGAGGAAUGCCUCAACGUAGUCAAACUAGUUCUGAAGCAAGAGGGAAGAGACCAGUUGAACAUGAGGACACCAGUGGAGGACAAACAAGAGCUUUUAAAAGGCCAAGAAUGGUAGGUGUUGGCAUAUACCAAGCUGAAGAUGGAUUUACAACUCUCAAUGUAAGUUUACAACUUUCAAUGCAAGCCUAAAUGUCUUUUGAUUUGAAUAUGUAUUUAUUUGACUAAGCAACCUGGAUUGUCAAGUAGAAGAGUCAUCAAUACUGGUAUAAGAGUGACAAAGAGGGCUGAUGUUGUUACUGGUGAUAUUGGCUACACACCAGUACGUCGAUUCAAAUGGAAGGGGAAGACAACUAUUACCAGUACCAACCUAGAAAGAAUGAGGGCUGAAAAGGUUAUCCAAACUAGGUCUGCAGCUACUGCUACUACUAAUAGCCAAAGCCAAACAAGUUCAAGUAGGAAGACUCAUGUGCCAUGGAAGUAGGGCAUUUUGAUGUUGUCUUGUUCAUUUUGACAAACAAAUUUUAAUUAUGUAUAUUUUUGUGUUGUUUUUGGUUGGAAUCAAACUCAAUUUAGCGUGUACAAAACAAGAUCAACUUGAUAGCAAUACUUCAAAUUGAAUGAUUAUGUUGGAAUUAAGUCCUCUUUUUGAUUAGUUUUUUUGUUGCUUUUAGCUAUAUUCUUCUCAUUUAUUUGUAGUUGAACAUAUUUUUGAAGUUUCUCAAAUGGUUACCACAAUAAUAUAAACAACCAAAUACAUUAACAACUUGUUCAAAUCAUAAUUAUUUCGACAUCAAAGACCAACAAAAACUUGAGCAUUCGACAAAGCAAGAUCAAGACAAUUAGCUUCAAGUUACACACAUCUACAACUUCAAAAACUUGAAAGUAACUAAACAUGUAUAUGGCAAUUUUGGCUGCACACACCUACAACUUUCAUCCUUCACAUUCUUGGUUAGGCUUAAAAAUAGAAAACACACAAUAACGAUCAAGACAAUUAGCUUCAAGUUACAACAUAUGCUCUUCUUCUUCUCCUUCAUCACGACUUGGUUACUUUCAACACGACUUUCAUAAUGUGCCAAUGCUUUUUCCAACUCCUUAAUUCUCUUUGCCAAUCUCAGAAUAACGUAUUUGGAUCGUAUAUCAACAUCUUCACGAUCCCUCCAUCUAAAGAAGUUGCAUGCAUCCUCCUAAAAUACGUAAAAACACAAAUUAAAGAAAAAUGCAUAAAUAAAAGUUCUCCAGAAAAGAAUUAGGAAACAUACAUGAUAGUGUGUACAAAACCAAAAUCUUCGAGCUGGAUUGUGCUCCGACCAUGAAGUUUGCAUUGAAAGUAAAUCACCAUGUUUGCAUCGCAAUUUCACUCGCGAAAUCGGAUCAUUCUCAUCAUUACAAAUACAAUUCAACAUUGCAUUUGCCAUUUUCGGUCAAAUUUAAUCACAAAAUUAAGAAAAAAUUAAACCAUAAAAAACUUCAAAUUAUUAACGCUUUCUACUGGAAAUUAAAAGAUAAAACAAAUUCCUACCUUAUUAGACUUGGGGUAAACAAUAAAUUCGUCAAAGAGAGAGCACCAACGUUGAGCUUUGCUUUGGAAACAAAGUUGAAAUUGAUUUUAGGGCAACCAACGACUCUUUUCUCUUUAAAUUUGGGGAAGAUGAUGUAAUUUAAAUUAAUUAAAUAAUUAAUAAUAAAGAUAUUAAAUAGUUCUGUGGGGUGAUAAGACACUUCCAAAGUUAAAGUGUCUUUAUGCAAAUAUGGGUAAACUUGUAUUUUAUUCAACCUAUUUUUACCCAUAUGAGAUUGGACGGAUUUAAUUAUUACCCAUUUUAUAUUGACCCAUUUUUAACUCGCCCAAAUUUUAUUCAACCCACCCAUUUGCAACCACUAACCGUAAGUAACAGAAACUAAGCAGUACACUUUUUUUCUGUUGGGCUGAACUUUCAGAAAAGUUUGCUACUCAGGUGUAAUACUAAUUUAUGGAACGAUAUAUGUGCAGGUUUUAGCGCAGCCAUAUUGUCCGGUUAUACACUUAGUUCAUCAUUAUAGAAGUUUAAGUUUGUCUAUCUAGAUUUGUUUGCCAUAUUGUCCGGUUAUACACUUAGUUCAUCAUUAUAGAAGUUUAAGUUUGUCUAUCUAGAUUUGUUUGCCAUAUUGUCCGGUUAUACACUUAGUUCAUCAUUAUAGAAGUUUAAGUUUGUCUAUCUAGAUUUGUUUGCCAUAUUGUCCGGUUAUACACUUAGUUCAUCAUUAUAGAAGUUUAAGUUUGUCUAUCUAGAUUUGUUUGGAUCAAUUAUAUAUCAAGAAUAUGAGCGUACAUGACUGGAUUCGUUUUAGUUUUUUAAAUAUCAAAUUAAAUUAUUUGUGUCAAUUUUUUAAAUUUAUAAAUCAAAUCAAACUAAUAAAAUUUGGGAUUUUUCAAUCUCGGGUUGGUUCAGAUUUUUCAAAUAUCAAACCAAAUUAUUUGUGUUGAAUUUUUAAAAUUUUAAAUCAAACCAAACUAAUAAUUUUUGGAUUUUUCGGUAAAGUAUUCACACAAACAUAUAAUUAACUUGUGCUUCAAAUGUUUCUUUAGUCCAAUCAAAAUACAACUAUCUAAGGCGUUUCUUAAGAAAAUAACACAAAAUAUGAUAUAAGUGAUGACACUAAAAUAUUCAAUAAAAAAUAAUAAAGAAAUCGUAUAAAAUAAAUAUCGCAAAUUGAUAAGUCAUAACGAAAAUGAUCAUAAUUUAAAAGUACUAAAUCAUGCUAAAAUAAGUCUACUACGUAUUAAUUACAUUAAACAUUAAAAAAUUAGGUUAUGUGUUUUAAAUGUCUAAACCAAUGUAAAACUAAAGAACAAAUAAUCAACAUUAUUGUCAUUCUUAGUGUUGAAUUAAUUUGUUUUGUUAGCAUUAGUGUGAUUAGAUUUUUAAUUGAACUUUAUUAGAGUCACUAAUAUCUAUGGACUAUAACCUUCAUUGCAUUAUUCAAAAUUCGAAAUCUCAAAAGACUUGAAAAAGUAUGUUAAAAGAUAAAAAUUAUGAAAAGUUAUAAGUAAUAUUUAGAAAUUACAUCAAAGUAAAUAGUUUUAUGUAUAAAGUAAAUUUUAAAAAUAAAAUAUAUAAUGUCGGGUUGGUUUUGUUCGGGUUGAUUUUUUUUUAGUUAAAACCAGGGGUGGAUCUAUUAAGACCCGUGGGGUGCCACGCCACCCACAAGUUUCGACCGAAACUCUAUUUAUAUAUAGGUAUUUAUAUACACCAUUGUAUAAAUAAUAAACGUGCCACCCAGUAAACAAAAGUAUUCUCUGGUGCCAGUGGUAGGGGAUCUGAUUUUUGUGUCUAAGUUCGCGGGAUCAAACCCCACAAACAGCUUUUUGUUUUAAUUUUUUUUCAAUUGCAGGCUGCCUUCUUUUUAUUUUGUUUUUUUUAACUGCAGUGUUUCUUUUUUAACCUACAAGCACAUGCUCUUUUGUUUUUUUGCUUGUUUUUUUACUUGUUAACUUAUUAUUAUUAAGUAUUAAUCAAUAAUUUUUUUUAACUAAUUUAAUUUAACUUUUUGACUUUUAUUUUAUUUGAUUAAACAUAAAGAUUACUUUUUUCUCUUCACCAUUGAAACCUUGGUUGUUCCUUUAAACUUUUCAACAACAAAAAUCUGCCAUUAAUCAAAGCUUCAGCCUCAGCCUUCAGUCCGUCGCCCAAUCCUGCUCACCCAUCCGUCCAUAAGACGAAUAAUUAUAUUUGAAUCUAAAGUUGAUUUAAUCUGAGUCUACUGAUCAUUAGAGGCGAAUUCAAAAUUUGAAGAUUUUGGUGCAUCAAUACUUCUUAAUUUAGUUAGUUAGCGAAACUUUUACUACAAUUAACGAAUAAUGUAGUAUUUGCUUGGUCACUAAUGACUCAAAUAUGAGCUCUAAGCUAAACUUAAAAUAAAAAUAAUGAAAUAGGGUUCUAGCUAGAUUUGAACUGUAUUCUCGCGAGUGGUUCCUCUGGCUUGUACCAACUACACAAGGGUACCCCUACACUUCUUAUAGGUGCACCGUUGAUUAUACGUUUCUCAAGCACGUUUUUUUCAAAGUUAACGUGUGCACCCCUAUCAAAUCAUGUGGGUCCGCCUCUGCUUGGCACCCAGUGACUCGAAAUCCUAGAUCCGCCUCUGGUUAAAACCAAACCAACCCAAGUAUAAUCGGGUUUUCUUUUCCAAUACCAACCAAGUCAAACAAAACUAUUAGUCGAAUGUUUUUUCCGAUUUGACUCUAUUUUCAAUUUAGUUCGAUUUUUGGUUCAAUUUUGUACACAUAACUAGUUAAGCUCCUCUUCAUCAAAUGCUAAUAGCUAGGGAGUCUCAGAUGAUUUCAUAAGGAUCAUAAGCAAGCUCUUUAUACCAUCACAACAUAUCGUUUCCAUUUGUCAGUGUAUAGAGUUACUUGAUAGCUUUGCUUGUGAGAGACAAUGAAUACUUGGUGGAAUAAUCAAGAAGCGUACAAGCUAAGUCGAAUAACACCUUUAUAAAACAAAAUGCCUUUAUAUGUUGAAGAAUGAAGAAACAUAGUGAAAAUGAUCAAUUUUUAUACAAAAUAUGAUGAGAAGACCAGAAAAGGCUGAAGAGGAAUAAGAGAAAAUAAUUGAUUGCUUUUUGCAAGAAAAUAUGAUGGGAAGAUUGGUGAGGAUUGAAGAGGAAUAAGAGAGGAGAACCUUACAAAGAAGACUAGAGCUCUCUGGCAUAUUCAAAAUAUAUAUCUUAUUUUUGGUUUAUAGUUUCAAAAGAGAUAUUGAUAAAAUAAUUCUUCAAAAUAUCAUAAUCUUAAGGAGAGCAAAUCAGUCCAAAUAUAUAUAUAUAUUUUUUAUCAUAAAAAGAGUAUAAAAUAAUUGUUACGAAAAAGUUAAAAUUGGAAAGGUAGCAAUAUUAUCAUUAUCUAUAUUUAUCUAUCUCUCUAUAUCUAUAUCUUCUUUAUAUUAAUAUUAAUAUUAAUAUUAUAUUAAUAUUUUAUUUUAUUUAUUUUUAAUUUUAAUUUUAAUAACUUAAAAACAUAAACUCCUAACUUGAAUGUUAAAUUACUUUAAUAUUCCUAACUUAGGUUGUAACUUUUUCGAUAAGUUGUGUCUUUAUUCAAAGAGUUGUGACUUUUCGAUGAGUUAUGAAUUUUCCAAAGAGUUGUGACUUUUUCAAUAAGUUUCUUUUCCAAAGGGUUGUGACUUCUCGGAAAUGUCAUGACUUUUCAGAUAAGAUGCAGAAACAAUUGUUCAUACUACCCUUUGUUGACUAUAAAUAGAGGGACUUCCUCUCAUUUUUCAACCACAAAUUUUUUAAUCUUCUACUCUUCUUUUUCUUGCAAUUUAAAAUUUUUUGUGUGAUUUAUUAUCGUUGAGUGAGUUUGAAAUUUAGCAGAAUACGAGGUACCACUAUUCUGACGAAGUAAAUGUUUUAUCCUAAGAGGGUAUAUUCCAUAACCUCGAGUACUUGAUGAAAAUAAUUUUGAUGAUAUAAUAAUUAUUUUUUACUUAAUAUAUACAUUAAUAUGUAAUGUUCCAAUAUAUAAAGUUAACAUGAUGUAGUCUAAAUUCAUUUAUUUUUGUUAACAAUUUCUCUUGUGAUGUAGAUAUAUGUUUAUGAAUAUCUUUCUCCAAAAUUUAGAGAAUUUUCACAAUUUGUUUUUUUUAUGCUCAAGACAAAAGAAUGACUUUAUUUAUCAAUGCUACUUAAUGUCAUUUAGAUUGUCAGGAAGUUUGCUUCAAAAUAGUUAUUACUAUAUAAACAUGCCCUUUUAUUCAUAUGACUUGUAAUAACACCAAUUGACGUUUGUCUUAGUUUAUUUUUUAUUAUUUAUUUAAUAGCUAAUUUUUAUGAGAUAAAUAUUUUCAGUAAUGCAAAUAUAUAUUUAUAUUUGGAUAGGUAUUUGUAUUUAAUUUAAAGUAUUAUAUAGAGAAAAUAGCCUAAAGUCCCCCUAAUCUAUUGUCGAAUUCUCAACUACACACUUAGACUUCACGGGGGUCCUAUUACCCACCUGAACAUUUUAAAAGUAUAAUAUAUACCCCUUAAAAACUCACACCUAGAUUUGUAUCAAAAAGUAAGUGACACGCGCUUACCACGUAAUUUACCUUUUAAAAAAAUAAAAAAAUAUUAUCUUUUCCUUUAUUCUACUUUUCCUUUUAUAUUAUCCUUCUUUUCUCUUUCCUUUCUUGCUCCUUUUUUUCUUUACUUUGACCAAAUGAUUUUUCAAAUUAGCAAAGCAAGCUUAAAUUUAGAAACCAUUGAGUGAAAUUUUCUUCAUAAACCUUCUUAACAUCAACUGAAAAUUCAUCAUGAUUCUUGUUUAAAAAAACAAAAGAAUUUAAAAAGGAUCGAUUAAUGAUAAAAGGAUUUACCCUUUAAUGUUGUUUGGUAGGAUAUGCAAUGAAUGAGUUGCAUGGAAAAUUAGUGAUGAACACAAAAAAGAGUGAUAGUGUUCAAUAUUUGGAGACUUCAAAGUUUGAUUUUUCAAAGUGAAUUUUGAAUUUUGGUUGAACUUAUUGAGAGCUUAGUAACUUUAAAAAUGAACACGGCGGUUCACGAUGGAGGUAGAUGACGAUUGAUGUCGCGAUAAUUAUGUACGGUGGUUGGGUCAUAAUAAUACAACUAAGGAAACUUAUAAAUUUCACUCAAGGGUUCCUAAAUUUCUCCAUUAAUGACACUAAAAUUUGAUCCUCUUGAAUUUCGAUUUUAAGCUACUGUCAAUUUUUCACACUAAUGAAAAAUUGAUCUAACAUGAAAAAAAAUGUGAUUUGAGGAUGAAAAUUAGAUUAAUGGUGGGAAGCUGACGAGGGCGGCGACUUGGUGGUGGAGCUGAGUUACCGCCGGUGUUGCUCCGGUGAAGAGAAAACAAAAAGAGAAAAAAGGUCAAAAAAGAAAAAAUAAAACAAAAACCGAAAGGAAACUUAAAAAUUUUAAAAACAAAAUAAAACAAAAACGGAAAGAAAACAGAAAAUCAAUAUAAAAUAAAAAUACAAUUUUAAAAUUAAAGUUUUAAUUAUUAUUUUUACCUCUCACUCUCUCAAAGAGAGUGAACUACACUUUCUUUGCCACCUUAUCAUUUAGGGAGCAAAUAAUUCCACUUUAAAAUUGUUGAAGGGGGUAAUAGGACUUCCGUGAUGAAUACGUGUGUAGUUGAGAAUUGGGUAAUAUAUAUAGUUUAGAGGGACUUUUGGCUAUUUUCCGUAUUAUAUAUGUCACGAAUGUAUUUUCAAGUUAAUAAGAUCUUCUAACUUCAUAAUAUAUUAUUUUAAAAUAUUUCAAGUUAUUUAAAAAAAAAAAACUCACAACAAAUGUGAAAAAUAUAUGAAUAUAUAUGAAUCAUCUAAAAUUUAUCAUUUACAAAAUAAAUUUUAUAUUCAAUAAUAUGGAAUAAACAUUUACAUUUUGUCCCUACACUAAAUUAAAAUCUAAUAACUAUAUAAAAAAAUAGUAACAUUAAUUAAAAGUCCUAUUUAUUUAUGUAAGUAUAAAAUUUAUUAGAAAUUCAGCUCUUGCGCAUUAAUUAUUUAGUUAUAACAUUAUAAAUUCUCUUAGUUAUUACCAAUUAUUGCAAACAUUGUUCACAAUAUUUUACAUUCUUACUUAUAAUAUUAUGAAUUCCAUAGUAAUUACAUUAAUUAUUAUUAUUAUUAUUAUUAUUAUUAUUAUNNNNNNNNNNNNNNNNNNNNNNNNNNAUCUCUCCUUAUAUUAACUUUUGACCAAUAAUUUUUCAUAUUAUUAUAUCGCCCCUAUAUAUGUGAUAACACGGUAUUGUUAUUUUUCAAUUGACGAAUCAUUCUUGGUUGAAUAAAUUGAAAGGUAUAUGAAUUAUAUCUUUGUUGGGUAUAAGAUGAACAUGUGAUUAUAUAUAUUAUUUCACAAAUAGAAUAUAUUCUUUAAUUUUAAUUUUUAGUUUUUCCAGUAAAAAAAAAAGGAAACCUUUCUCAGUUAACUAUGGACAGUCAAAUAACUAUCUAUAAUUUAUGUACACAGUCAAUCAAGAAGUCAAAUAUGAGAGCCAACAACAAGAACAUCAUCUAUUAUGUUAUACCUUAUCAAAAUAAAAAUUAAUAUACAAAAAUUAUUUCUAAAAGAUAAAAUGUAGUUGUUCUUUCACAUGUUCAUAUGAC
rnacentral:lncRNA from 1 species